rnacentral:rRNA from 1 species
AGGACGAACGCUGGCGGCGUGCCUAACACAUGCAAGUCGAGCGGAGUCGGUAAGAGGAAGUUUCGGAUGGAAUCUUAUUGAUUUAGCGGCGGACGGGUGAGUAACGCGUGAGCGACCAACCUUGCACAGGGGGAUAACGGACCGAAAGGUUCACUAAUACCGCAUGAGACCACGGUGUUGCAUGACACAGAGGUCAAAGGAGCAAUCCGGUGCAAGACGGGCUCGCGUCCGAUUAGGUAGUUGAGGGGUAACGGCCCACCAAGCCUAUGAUCGGUAGCCGACCUGAGAGGGUGAUCGGCCACAUUGGAACUGAGAUACGGUCCAAACUCCUACGGGAGGCAGCAGUGGGGAAUAUUGGGGCCAAUGGGGGAAACCCUGACCCAGCAACGCCGCGUGAAGGAAGAAGGUUUUCGGAUUGUAAACUUCUGUCCUUGGUGAAGAGAAGAAGACGGUAGCCAAGGAGGAAGCCCCGGCUAACUACGUGCCAGCCGCCGC